GCCACACCUCACUAACAUCAAAUCAAAUUAAGUUAUAUUUCUUCCAAAAGAAAAAAGAAAGGAAAAGAGGAAAAAAUGAAAAAUUUAUCAAUCCAUAUGGUUCUUUUACUUGCCCUCUUCUUGGCAUCAGGCAAUGAGGUGAUGAUGGUGGAUGCUAGAACAUGUAAAAAAAUACUUCUCAAUAAGGGAGACUGUAUUCUCAUUCAUUGCAAAGGUGACUGUAAGGCAAAAUUUGGAUCAUCUGCUGAGGGAGAGUGCAUUUCUAUAUUGGAUUGUCAAUGUACUUACCCAUGUUGAUUUUUUGUAAUUUUUAAUAAUUAAGGUUUUAAACAUGUUUAUUACUUUAAAGUUAAUAAAAAACUGAUAUAUUAAUCAUCUUUUUUAUUGGUUAA